rfam:Canis lupus familiaris chromosome 22, whole genome shotgun sequence.
GCCUGGGUGGCUCAGUGGUUGAGCGCCUGCCUUUGGCGCAGGAUGUGAUCAUGGAGUCCCGGGAUCAAGUCCCACAUCGGGCU